rnacentral:rRNA from 1 species
AACGCGAAGAACCUUACCAAGGUUUGACAUGCAGGGAAAAGCCGUAGAGAUACGGUGUCCGUAAGGGUCCUGCACAGGUGGUGCAUGGCUGUCGUCAGCUCGUGUCGUGAGAUGUUGGGUUAAGUCCCGCAACGAGCGCAACCCUCGUCCUAUGUUGCCAGCGGGUAAUGCCGGGGACUCAUAGGAGACUGCCGGGGUCAACUCGGAGGAAGGUGGGGAUGACGUCAAGUCCUCAUGCCCCUUAUGUCUUGGGCUGCAAACAUGCUACAAUGGCCAGUACAAAGGGUUGCGAGACCGCAAGGUGGAGCGAAUCCCAAAAAGCUGGUCUCAGUUCGGAUUGCAGUCUGCAACUCGACUGCAUGAAGCCGGAAUCGCUAGUAAUGGCGCAUCAGAACGGCGCCGUGAAUACGUUCCCGGGCCUUGUACACACCGCGCAUA